rnacentral:lncRNA from 1 species
GCUUCAGCCUCUCGAGUGCUGGGAUUAUGGGCAUGUGCUCAAACUGCAAUGUGUGAUCAGAAUUACCUGAGCUCUUGAACUACACAUUGUUGGGUCCUUGCCGUGGUUCCUAAUGAGCAGUCUUGCAGAGGGUCUGAGAAUUUGCUCUUUUUGUUAUGUUUGCCUGUUUGUUUUGAGACAGUGUCUCACUAUGUAGGCCCAGCAAGCCUCAGACUGUCAGUUCCGCUCCGACCUCCUGAGCAGGCAUUCCGGGUGUGCAACCUCGCCCCGCCCUGAGGAUUUACAUUUUUCUUCCCAGGUAAGGCUGACUACACGAUCCAGGAGCCACACUAAGCAGCACUGGCCGGCUUAGUCACCCUUUAUCUGUCUGGACAGCGUAACUGGGGCAAGCUCCAACUUGUUGGCAAAACCCUACUUCUGCACGGACUCUCAGGCUCAUAAUGGCACGCACUUUCCUCCUUCCUCCCUUUCUUUCUUUCUCCUUUCUCUUUUUUGCAACUUCCUUCUCUUCUUGGCCUCCUCUUUUGGGCAAGCACCCAAGUCUUAUUACUUUUGCAGAUGGAAUGUGUCACACCCCUCCUCCUCUCCUUAGUCACUGCUGCGGAUGAAUAGUACAAUGAAAGCACUUUUCACUGCGGACAGCAGGACAAUGGGAACAUUUCUCUCCCCUGGGGCCGCAGGAUUGCAACAACACCCAGGGGUCUGCCUUUCACUCAUGACUGCUUCUCUCCCGAAAUGCCCUGGGAGCCACAUGGUACAGGGCACAUCCCACCACCAAAUCUGCUUGAGGGACCCCCGUGUAUCCCCAGACUUCUGAGUCACAGCAGAAGGAGAUGAGCAGCUCCCUGACUCUUACAUCAGCCUG